rnacentral:lncRNA from 1 species
GCCUGGGGUGGAGGGGAAGAACUUGGAGUGCCACCCCCAGAAUGUGGCGUCCACCUCACCAGACCGCACGGGUGAGCCCUGGACUGCAAGGUGCAUAUAACACAAGGUUUGGACACACCUGGAGAGCUCGGGCCAGGCAGGGCCACACCUGUGAGCCUGAGCUCAUCCAACACCGCCCGGAGCUCGGGGACCUUCCCCAUCCCAGCACCUCCUCACCGCUGUGCCCGUCUGGCCAGUCCCUCCAAGCACCCCUCGGAUGAAGUUGCGCCCCACACUGCAGUGGGGCUCACUCUCCACAGCGCCUGCUGCGUUGCACGGGGUGUGACAGGAAGGACCCUGCUGGGGCUGGCGGGGCCGUACCCAGAGCCUCCCUGUGCGGUUUCUCCUCCUCCUCCUCCUCUCCAUAAGCACCGGGAACAAAACAGAAAAAAGUCUUUGUAUAGUAAUAAAGUCUGCAGUUCACGCACCCAUGCUUGGACCAGCUCCUUAUUUUAACCACACGUGCACAGACCCCCGCCGUGCAAAGGGCCCAGCUGAGGACAGAACCCCAGACACUGCAUCCGGCCCCGGAGGCCCCCAAGGUUCCUGGGAGAGGCUCCCUCCCUCCCUUCCCUCCUCUUUCCCUCCCCCUCCUCCUUCCUCU